AGAGAGAGAGAGAGAGAGAGAGAGAGAGAGAGAGAGAGAGAAAUGACGAUAGGAGCAGAGACAGACAGGAGACAGGAAAAGGUGAGAGAUAACACGAUAACACCGCCAUUUCAUGCCUGACACAAACACCAUCACAAUCAGCUGAUAACGAUAAAAGAAAAGAAAAAAAAUGCUACAUAACACGUUGAAGAACAUUCUACUGUAAUGGAGAGAAUUAAGUUCUGAUACACAGAAUAUAUUUCAAGUACUUUUAUUCACAUGGAAACAAUAAGAACGAUAAAAAACGUGAUUAAUUUUGUACAAACAGAAGCACGAGUCAUGUGUUGUGGGGCGACCGGAGGCAAGGCAUCGGAGGACUGCCGGCAUGGCCCGCGGUGGCGCUGCGACCCCCUGCACCGCCCUCGGCCAGAUGGGGAUCGCCCUGCUGCCCCCUGCAUGACCGCCGACCCUGCAGCUGGGGUGCAGUGCUCUGCCCCCCGGAGCGAGCCUCGGGAAGCGGCGGAGCGCACCGCUCGCUCGUGCUUCCUCGCGUCCUGGGGAAGGCGACCCGACGGGGCCUGGACGCUCUCGCAGGGCAUCCCAUUGUCCGUCCUGGGAGUCGCUGUGAGGGCGGGUGUGUUGGGAACGCCCGCGAGGAAGGACCAGAGUAGACAUCCUCGUGUUGAUGAACUCUUCUCUAAACCCCAGGAUCCGGUCCUGUUAGGAUACGAACGAUAGGUGUCCCCGCGGGGUGGCUGCGGAAUCGGCCGUGUCGCUGACAUUUUCCUGUAGCUGACGUUCAACUUCUGCUGCAGGCUCACUUGCGGGUCCACGGCCGGAGGUAUAGCCUGGAGAGUACUCACCCCGGCCUGUUACGGUACUGGCAAGUUCACGCCACAAAAUUCAGUUUGUCCUACAGCUGUGCCUGGAACUGCGCCUGGCUGGCAGCCAUAUCUUCCGAGACGGCCUGGGGCUGCUGCCUCAUCUUCGCUACAAGACUCGACUGAACCCAAGGGCCUUGCGUUGUCGUUAAAGAGCCUUCCCGGCCAAUGUCACUUGGUGGCCUUCGUCAAGGUAUGGCCAUUCCGUUGGCCUUUAUUUGAAAGCAAAUGCCAGGGCGAGCAUAGACAAGACACGCCCCUGGCUUGACAAACAAUGGCGCAGCAGAGAGGCCGCGCUCAAGGAAGCCUUGUGUCCUCGUAGCAAGCUUUGACCUCUGGGAUGUCGCCUCCAGAACAGAUACGCGACGGACCAUGACUAAUCACGCCACCGGCCAAUGACCUAACUCGACCUGGUUUAGUGGAGCUGAACUGACCUAAUUUGCUCAAGCGCUUCAGUCCAUGGCGCCUGGAGCGCUCUACCAAAGAGACGUCACUUGAACUUUUACAAAUAAAUAACCAAAUUAUUAAUGUGAGCUAUACCUUUCUGACAAAACGUAAUAUCAUAUUCACAAACUUGACUAAUCCGUAACACUGAAAACGUUUAAGAAGAUACCAUGGCAAGGGAUAUAGAGAAAAAAAUCCCAUAACCAUAUCCCUGCAAAGCCAAGUGCAGAGCAAAGUAAAGUAAGGACCGCCACAUCAAUGCUAACGGCACAAACAUGAGCUAACUGGCGACCCUGUGUUACAGUAUGUGGUAGACGAAGAAAUAUUCCUGAAGUUGCUCUAGAGUGGAGAGCCGAUAUGCCACUCUCCAGAUUGGUGCAAAAAAAGUGUCCCGCAUAAAUCUUUCAAGGCAAUUUCUUUACCGACGAAAACUAGUAAUACCUUCCCGUUAUGCUUCGUUUUCAGGCAUUCAUGGAUUCAGCCACGCUUCGGGAUUCGCCUGUGGCCACGCCCUUAUCUAACCCACGGACCUGUAUCGAAGCGCUGGUUGGGUUAAGGGUUGGGGGCUGUAUUCUAGGCAGUUAUCCCAUAUGGCAUCAAUCUGCUCAACUGCCGGGGUUAUCUGUGGCGCCAAGAAUAGCAUCAUGCAUAGUGUAACUCUCAGCAAAUGCUAUUGCUGACGUAGGUUGCACGACAUGAACAUGGCCGCCGUAUGUAGCACACCCGUGGCUUAUCUGGAUCGACAUGUAUGAUGCAUUCCAGAAUAUCAGAUUUGCUGCUUCGCCGAUCUGUCAAAAACUGGACGAACGGCUAAAUAACGGGUCGCAAUUGUCAGAAUGAUACUGUGUCUGACGUUGUUUGUGAUUGCCAUCGUCACCUGAUCGCAUGACUCUGAAACAUCAGGGUCUUUGCCGGCUCCACGGACCGAGAGGGAGAUGUGAUGACUCCUUGUUCCAAAGGCCCCUGUGAGUUGAGCGCCACAAGCUUUUAACCAUCAGCAGUGAGAUUUUCGUUUAGGACUUAUUUUCUUCCGUUUAUUUAUUUGUUCAGUUUAUUUAGUUUAGCUUAUGUUAUCGAUCAUUUAGGACUUAUUUUCUUCCGUUUAUCUAUUUCUUCAGUUUAUUUAGUUUAGCUUAUGUUUUCCCAACUCAACAAUCUCAAAAAUAACAGGACAUCCUUCCGAUACUUGCAGACUGUGUGAAUAAUGAGUAAUGUGUAUGUAAUACUUGAGUAUUGUGUGUCUGAGACAAAUAGAAAUACAGAUUUGGUUAAUUUGAGUCAAAGAACCUCUAAAAUACCCAUCACCCAUGAUCUAUUUUUAAAAGAAGUCCAGGCACUAUCAAAGAACUCCAUGGCGGCCAUUUUAGAUUCACUUACAUAGAGACGUAAGUCCUUAUCUUCAACGCCUACCACGGAUAACCUUCCUACGUUCAUGUACACAACUCUAAAUACAUGUAGACAUUUUUUUUGUACAAGAACACCCUAACUGUACUCUAAGGGCCCGGACUAAACGCGAAAUAAGGGGAGAUGUUGUUGACCAAAAAGUGGGAAUCAGCAA
rnacentral:lncRNA from 1 species